GCCAGAUGUGGUGUAGUGGUUUGAGCUCUAGACUAUGACUCUGGAGCCCAGGGUUCAAAUCCCAGCUUAGCCA
rnacentral:tRNA from 1 species